rnacentral:tRNA from 1 species
GCGUCUAUAGCUCAAUUGGAUAGAGCGGCGGACUUCGGAUCCGUAGGUUGUGGGUUCGACUCCUACUAGGCGCG